rnacentral:rRNA from 1 species
CUCGUAGGUGGCCAACUAAGUCAGACGUGAAAUCCCUCAGCUUAACUGGGGAACUGCGUCUGAUACUGGAUGGCUUGAGAUUGGGAGAGGGAUGCGGAAUUCCAGGUGUAGCGGUGAAAUGCGUAGAUAUCUGGAGGAACACCGGUGGCGAAGGCGGCAUCCUGGACCAACACUGACACUGAGGAGCGAAAGCCGAGGGGAGACAAACG